rnacentral:lncRNA from 1 species
UGUAUCAUGUGACUCGUGUGUGUGUUCUCAGGUGCAGGUGUGUGUGACGGACAUCAUCAUGCUCAAAGGCUCUCGGUGAUCCGCUCCUUCCCAUGAUUCCUCACCAGGCCGCCCCAUGCCAACCCGUAACCAUGACGACCACUCGCCCCCGUGAGCCCCUCCGUCGCCCGGCGGCCGUUUGACUGGAUGAGGAACCCGGCCUCCAGUGAUGUGAUGCACAGGUUUGAGGUUCUUGGGAUUGUGGGGGAAGGAGCGUACGGGGUCGUCCUGAAGUGCAGACACAAGGUGUAAACACCUGUGACCUUUGACCCACGUCACAUCUGACAGGAACCCAC